rnacentral:tRNA from 1 species
GGAGGGUUCGCAUAGUGGUCUAGUGCACCGUGUUGGAAACGCGGCGAGGCGAAAGCCUCCAAGAGUUCGAAUCUCUUACCCUCCGCAA